rnacentral:rRNA from 1 species
GUUUACAGCCAUGCCACUCUGAGUGUGCCCGAUCCUGUCUGAUCUCGGAAACUAAGCAGGGUCGGGCCUGGUUAAUACUUGGAUGGGAGACCACCUAGGAAGACCAGGUGCUGUAGGCA